CCUACGGGAGGCAGCAGUGAGGAAUAUUGGGCAAUGGGCGCGAGCCUGAACCAGCAAAGCAGCGUGAAGGAUGACGGCCCUACGGGUGGUAAACUUCUUUUAUAAAGGAAUAAAGUGAGGCACGUGUGCCUUUUUGCAUGUACCUUAUGAAUAAGGAUCGGCUAACUCCGUGCCAGCAGCCGCGGUAAUACGGAGGAUCCGAGCGUUAUCCGGAUUUAUUGGGUUUAAAGGGAGCGUAGUUGGGUUGUUAAGUCAGUUGUGAAAGUUUGCGGCUCAACCGUAAAAUUGCAAUUGAUACUGGCAGUCUUGAGUGCAGUUGAGGUAGGCGGAAUUCGUGGUGUAGCGGUGAAAUGCUUAGAUAUCACGAAGAACUCCGAUUGCGAAGGCAGCUUACUAGACUGUAACUGACGUUGAUGCUCGAAAGUGUGGGUAUCAAACAGGAUUAGAUACCCUUGUAGUC
rnacentral:rRNA from 1 species